AGGUGAGGUGGGUGUGGCUAUGUUACAUCUUCUAGAUUUUUCUUUUUGACUAAUAGUUUUCUCACGUAAAGUUAAUUCGGAGGGUCAAAAUCAUAGACUUGAAACACUUUCCCAAACAUUUUGUCACAAAUUUCCUUUUUUUCAAAUUAAUCCUUCUUUCUUUUUCUCUAAUUAUUAUUAUUCUAUAAGUAAUAACAAGUGUUGUGAUAUCUUAGCAUAAAUUUUCAAUUUCUUUGUGGACGGUAAAGAUUUAAGAUAUGAUAUGAUAUAUUUCAUAUCAAUGUGUUUUUUAGUCGGAAUUUUUUUUUAAAGAUUUUCCAUAUAACAAAAUAAUUGGAUGAAGUUAGUGGACUCCACUAUAAUUAAAACCUAUAUAAAUUAGCAAGUUAUAUGUGCAUCAUCACUUGUACCCCAUACUUGGGGAGUGUUUCAAAAAAAAAUUUGAUUUCUCUUCUUCAUCUUCAUCCUCAUCCUGUAUCCUCAAUUUACAGUUACAAGCUUCAGAACUUUGUUGUGUCUUAGGUGGUUGUUGGCUGUAAUUGUUCCUACUUGCCACUCUCGGAUAAUAGAGAGUGAAGAUGCGAGAGAGAGAGUGGGUGGGACGGCAGGUCACGCUUCCGGCAACGGUGACUGAGAUCACCGGUGAAUUACAACCUGACUGUCGGUCUGGCAACGGUGACUGAGAGUUCAGUGGAUGGCGUCUGAUGGUUUGAGAGGUCUUUGGAUGGCGUCUCAUAGAUUGAGAGUUCAUUGUACAGUCGUUCUUCUUCUCAGAGCAACAAAUUAGCCCUAAACUAUAGAGAAUUUUCGAGGAUCCCUAACAGGGUUUCUGCUGGUAAUUGUUGAGGUGAUUAAAGUUAACCGAACUGACGAAAGGUCAGCCAAGAAGGCUCGAGGUUCAGCUACGAGGACGAGUGCGCGAAUUGGCAUGACCAAAGGCUAUUUAGAGAGAUGGAUCUGAUGAAGUUGUGUUCGGAGCUGAUAUACAUCCAGGUGCAAGAGGCUAUGACGAGUUAAGUCGCGAUCGGCUCUUGGCGUGGCAGGAUCGGAGAGUUUCUCUAUUUGCAACCUCUGAUGCAGCCAUGGUGGUCUAAUAGACGGAUCUGAACCACGCUAUAUUAGUCGGCAAAUCUGAGCCAAACAAGUUGUAUCUAUUCAUAUUGAUACAACUCUUUAACUCGAUGUUUUCUCUUUCGGUUACUUUGGCGAGUGUUGAUGCCGUAACGAAUCAAACGAAUACCGGACAAUCUUUUAGCUUCUAUGAUUAGUGAAUGUCAACCCGGCCGCAACGCGGCGGGUGUUACAUCUAGUUGAUAUGAAAAUCAAACUUUUGAUUUAAAAAGGUAAAAAAAAAAAAAAAAUCUUUUAGACUAAAAUAGAUAUUUAUGUCAACGAGUAAAUUGUCAUUUUAGUCCCUGAGUUUUGUCCAAAUUUGCCAUUUUAGUCCAAAUAGUUUUUUUAUUGCCUUUGGGUCCCUGACUUUUCCCUUUUAUUGCCAUUUUGAUCACAUACACUCACUCCAUCCAAAAACUCCAUCUUUAACCAAGGGUAUUUUGGGGAUUUUCAUUUUAAAUGUUUUCAAUUGCCAUUUUGAUCCAAUUCCAAAAAAUCAAAAAAAUUCCAAAAAAUAAAAAAAUUCCAAAAAAUUCUAAAA
rnacentral:lncRNA from 1 species